UGCAGGCAACAGAGCUCUGAGCGCCAUCACUGCCACCUGCUGGCGUGGAGUACAAACGACAACACACGUUUUCUCAAUCCUUUUGGCACAUGUCUUCAAUCAAACUUAACAUUAACAAACCAAUGGCGCUGCAGCUCCACUACACAAUCUCCUGAAAACGCUCUCGGAGGAGACUGAGAGAACGACAGCAGCCUGUUAACAGACUUACUGCAGAUGACAGCGCGCAGGUACCGUCGCUUUUUGGCUGCAUUCAAGAUUCCACAGGUGUGUGGCGCACAGAGUCUGUUGAGGUGGAUAAGAGUUCAUGGGCUUACGGACAGAUCUCCGUCCUCUUUCUC